UACAGAGGUCUCAAGCGUUGUUCGGAUUCAUUGGGCGUAAAGGGUGUGUGAGGUGGCGCGCUAAGUCGGGGUGUGAAAUUUCGGGAGCUUAACUCCGAAACUGCAUUCGAUACUGGCGUGCUUGAGGACUGGAGAGGAGACUGGAAUUCAUGGUGAGCAGUGAAAUGCGUAGAGAUCAUGAGGAAGACCAGUGGCGAAGGCGGGUCU
rnacentral:rRNA from 1 species